rnacentral:tRNA from 1 species
GGGGACAUAGCUCAGUGGUAGGGCCCGUGCUUGGCAUGCAUGAAGUCCUAGGUUCAACUCCCAGUGCCUUA